rnacentral:rRNA from 1 species
CCCUUAGAUGUCCUGGGCCGCACGCGUGCUACACUGACACUUGCAACGAGUACUUUGCUUUACCGAAAGGUAAUGCUAAUCAUCAAUAAGUGUCGUGAUGGGGAUAGAUCUUUGGAAUUAUGGAUCUUGAACGAGGAAUGCCUAGUAAGCGUAGGUCAUUAGCCUACGCUGAUUAAGUCCCUGCCCUUUGUACACACCGCCCGUCGCUCCUACCGAUUUCGAGUGGUCCGGUGAAACUUUUGGACCGUGCGACUUUAUUGUUGUCACGGAAAGUCAGUUAAACCAUNCNACUUAANGGAAGGAGAANUCGUANCA